CUCAAAUUUUAGAAAGUAUUUCAUAUUUCUUAGAGAAACAAGCCGUGCUCAUUUUUUGUUUGUUUGUUUUUUGUUUUUUAAAAGGGCAGGGGGACUACAAUGCCAGGAGCCAGAGAGCUUGUCAGAGAACAGCCUGGCCAGGCAUGGUGCUCCAUCUGAGUGCCGAGUCAGAGCAUGCCCAGCCUUUGGCAUUUUCCUAUGAUCAUGGACAGCAUCAAUCUUACAGCCUGGAAUGGAAACAGGAUAAAAAGCAAGAAGGCACUGUACCUUUCCCCCACUGGCAGACAGAGAAACUCUAACUCUCCCGCCCUAUUUUCAUCCAUUUAAAUUCAUUUCCUUUCUCUCAGGUUUUCUGUAUCUUGGUUUGGAAUGAAUCUGGUACACGGCUCCUGAGUCAAGAGGUCAAGAAGACACGUGGUUUUAUGAUGCAACAAUGGGCAGCCACUCUGUUUUGUUUUGGGAACCUCAGUGACAUCACAGACUAACCCUUGUACCUUGGGACCUUGUAUGUAAGAAAACAUUGAGUCAGAAGAGAGCGUUAGUCAUAGGGCUACUGAAACACAAGGUGACGAGAACUAUUAGGCAAUUGAGUGCAUUCCCUGCAGGGCUGCUCCCACUUCUAUCUGACUUGGGUCUAGAUGACUCAAGUGAUUCCCGAGGGGAAAAUAAUCUAUGUGGAACAGCUGUCAUGAGCAGGCCUUCUGCUGCUCUUCAGCCUCAAUUUCAGCCUGCUACUUCCCGUGACAUCAUUCAGUGAUUCCUCCCUUUAAGGGGACAGUUUUCUCUUGUAUUACAGCUGUCUGCCUACGGAAGGCUCCAGAGUCCCUGACGCAUAUUUAUAUCUCCACUUCACUGAAGUCACAAGGAACAAACACGUUCACAGGAAGCACCUGGCACACAGUAACUAUUAUUAAUUUCUGCACUGGAGGCAUCAGGAAAGCCUUCACGCUAUAGGGGGCCCUUUUAAGUUAAGAAGUUGGAGAGCAAGCCUCGGGGAAAGCAAAGAGAUAACUUAGUAGAAUGGAGCAACCAUACGGGAACAGUGAGAGUCCAUGGAUCUCCCUGGGCUAAGAUCAUGUAUGGAUUUGGCAAUCUGGGGUGGAAGCCACAUGUGCUGUUAUUAAGUGGAAAUGUCUCGUGAACAUGUGGAAAGUGAUGACUGGAACUUCAGAUGAAAGUCAAAGCUGGAGAUAGGAGAUUCAGAAGUCACCCCACCAAAGAAGGAAUGGUUAAAGCUAUAAGAACUAAUGAGAUCCUAUUUAUUUGCUUAUUCAAUCAACAUAUGUAGAACUAAAUGCUAAGAAUGUAAUGAUAAAUAAGACAGAAAGGGACCUUGCCCAUAUGGUAUUUACAAUCUACUGCCAGUUCAUAAUCUCCUAAAAAAUAAUGUAGAGAACAAUAACAGAAUCAAAGAAAUCUUGAACGUCUAUAUUUAAGGGGUUGAAUGUAAAAGAAAAGGCCUUAAAGGAGGCAGAAAAAUAGCAAUGAGAAAAGUUUGGGAAUUCUAAAACAAGACAGUAUUUCAGAGGAAGAAAACGCAGGUAAUACAUGGGCAAGUUUCACACACAGAGGUGAUGCAUCCUGGUGACCAAUAUUACAAGGAAGAGAGAUGAUGACUGAGGACAGGCUGGUGGACUUGAUUUGAGGUCAACGGUAUGAGGAUAAUUUCAGCAGAGUGGUGGGAUGGAGCGAAACAGCAGGUGUGUCAAUAAUGAGUUAAGCUUUGAGAAAGGGGAGACUUCAGAUGCAGACAACUCAUUCCUGAAUCUGUGCUUCAAAAACAAGAAAAAGCCCAAGAUGUCAGGAUAUCUGCAGGGUCAAGCAAAGCAUUUUUUUCACGAUGGUAAUAGGUAAAAGAGAUUUCUCUAGCCCGCUGGUCUAAGGAUCAGACAGAGGGUGGAGGUGCUUGAUAAGGAUGGUCAUGGCAUUUUUUGCAGACUGAAAUGAUAUUUGAAAACUAAAUGCUAGCCUGUGUUACAGCUACUUACCCGCUGAGGAUCAAACGUACAUUUAUUUGCCCUAUUGCCCAACUUAUGGCUAUGCCAGUAAUGUCCUCUUUUUUUCCUUAUCAUUUCUUUUCAGCUUGUUUUCCCAAACUGUGGUGUUGCCUUGCCCUUGAGAACCCAGCUGAGGUCUAGACUGUUUCAUGGAUCACCUAAGCUUGGAGCUACAGUUGGGCUGCAAAGUUGUUCCUCUAGUGCUGAUACAAGAACAUAGCUGGUCCUCUUGUUCAUAGUGGUAAAAUAUUUUUAAAAUCUGACAUAAACACAACAUAUUAAUUACAGAAAUGAUGGAGAGAGAAUAAAGCUGGGACCCCAC
rnacentral:lncRNA from 1 species